UACGUAGGCAGCAAGCGUUGUUCGGAAUUACUGGGCGUAAAGAGUGUGUAGGCGGUGCUCUAAGUCUGUUGUGAAAUCUCCCGGCUUAACUGGGAGGGUGCGGCGGAGACUGGAGUGCUCGAGUGUGGGAGAGGUAAGCGGAAUUCCUGGUGUAGCGGUGAAAUGCGUAGAUAUCGUGAGGAACACCAGAGGCGAAGGCGGCUACCUGGACAAUUGCUGACGCUCAGGCACGAAAGCGUGGGGAGCAAAAGGG
rnacentral:rRNA from 1 species